GGGCCCGCACAAGCGGUGGAGUAUGUGGUUUAAUUCGAUGCAACGCGAAGAACCUUACCAGGGUUUGACAUCCUGCGAAUCUCUUGGAAACAGGAGAGUGCCUUCGGGAACGCAGUGACAGGUGGUGCAUGGCUGUCGUCAGCUCGUGUCGUGAGAUGUUGGGUUAAGUCCCGCAACGAGCGCAACCCACGUCUUUAGUUGCCAGCAUUUAGUUGGGCACUCUAGAGAGACUGCCGGUGAUAAACCGGAGAAGGUGUGGAUGACGUCAAGUCAUCAUGCCCCUUACAUCUGGGCUACACACGUACUACAAUGCUACGGACAAAGGGCAGCAAGUUCGCGAGGACAAGC
rnacentral:rRNA from 1 species